UACGGAGGGGGUUAGCGUUGUUCGGAAUGACUGGGCGUAAAGCGCGCGUAGACGGAUCAUCAAGUCGGGGGUGAAAUCCCGGGGCUCAACCCCGGAAUGGCCUUCGAGACUGGUGGUCUUGAGUUCGAGAGAGGUGAGUGGAAUUCCGAGUGUAGAGGUGAAAUUCGUAGAUAUUCGGAGGAACACCAGUGGCGAAGGCGGCUCACUGGCUCGACACUGACGCUGAGGUGCGAAAGCGUGGGGAGCAAACAGG
rnacentral:rRNA from 1 species